AACGAACGCUGGCGGCAUGCCUAACACAUGCAAGUCGAACGAGAUCUUCGGGUCUAGUGGCGCACGGGUGCGUAACGCGUGGGAAUCUGCCCUUUGGUUCGGAAUAACAGUUGGAAACGACUGCUAAUACCGGAUGAUGACGAAAGUCCAAAGAUUUAUCGCCAGAGGAUGAGCCCGCGUAGGAUUAGCUAGUUGGUGUGGUAAAGGCGCGCCAAGGCGACGAUCCUUAGCUGGUCUGAGAGGAUGAUCAGCCACACUGGGACUGAGACACGGCCCAGGCUCUUACGGGAGGCAGCAGUGGGGAAUAUUGGACAAUGGGCGAAAGCCUGAUCCAGCAAUGCCGCGUGAGUGAUGAAGGCCUUAGGGUUGUAAAGCUCUUUUACCCGGGAUGAUAAUGACAGUACCGGGAGAAUAAGCUCCGGCUAACUCCGUGCCAGCAGCCGCGGUAA
rnacentral:rRNA from 1 species